AGAAAGCUAACCGACGCUUGAGUUUAGCAACACAGAAAGGAAGAAUCCCGAGAUGAAAAUACACCCUGACACAAGCGGGCUAUAAUUUAGCUAACGAGGCUGUAAAUAACGAGCUAUAAAGCGACAGUUGCUACAACAGUUGUAACAACAACGGGCUUAAUGGUUGCGGACGCAACAAAUUGACUUCUGCGGUAGGAGCACGGAAAACUUUAAAACUGUAAGGAAACUAGGACUUUCCCGAGCAGUUGAGUGACAGUAGGUUUUAAUAUAGGAAUACGUACAUAAAUUUCUCACGGGAAUUUGUAAUACAUACCGAGGAAAAAAUGCAUGUGUGGUAAAUGUCUACACGUAGUGAAAAAAGUGUGAGAAAAAUGCAAAAACACGAAGCCUGGCAUUUUAGCUAAAUACGAACACAGAAACAAAGACUAGGAGGCAACGGCAGCACAUAUCUCGACGCUUCGCUAACACACUUACCUGUUGUAGGUCCAAAAAAAUCCGCAGUAUUAGGAGGACCGUGUGGGAGUCAGGAGUCGGAUGUGGGGUUUUGGGACUAAGUGAGGUCGUUGCAUCAGCCCGUUUAAGUACUGAACUCGGCUCAGGAAUGCGGAACUGCUGCGUCAGACGUAAGCAUGGAUGAAAAUAGGAGGACGACUGAGGCCCCGCCCAUAGCAACAAGAAAACAUACACAGACUGCAGAGAGGAAAGUUUCAGCCCGGAGGACACACGGAGAGAAAGAGAUACGCACUCCCGGAUACAGCUGAGAAGUUGUGCCACAAUUUGAAAAUGGAUGUAAACAGCGCUGUCACCCCCAAACACUGCUAUUGUUUUCUGGUGAUGCAAGAGGAGACUGAAUCUGCCUGAACAUGCCCACCUCUUCUCCAACGGGAAAAGCCUUGGGGAGGUGCAGCUCAUAGAUGUUGCUGAAUGCCUAAUGCUACUGUCACAUCAACUUAGAAAAUCAAUGCUGCUUAUUCUUGCUUUUCCUUCAGGUACCAAAAAAGAAUGCUUUAUGCAGUUUUCUGUGGUGCUAUUGUUUUAUCGAGAUAUGGUUACUUCUUCCACCACAGGCAGCAUUAUGUUUAACCACCAAAGAUAUAACCAAAACAGAAAAGCAUGACGGUAGUGCAGUAAAAUAAAUGUUUACAUUAUUUGAUUAAUGUGAUAUGAUUAGUCACUUUAAUACGAAAUAAUCUGUAAUAAAGAAGAUUUUCCAAACACCUACACUAUAUUGCCUUCACACGCAUAUGAACUUGAGGAACAUCCCAUUCUUAAUCUAAAG